UAUAUAUGGUUAAGUUUAUGAAAUGAAAUAAUAUUAUUUAUAUUAUUUUAUUUCAUGAGUUUAUAUAUUUCUCUUUAAAUAAAAGUGUUUAAUUUGAUAGAGAAAAUCUCGACACAUCUUAUCUGAAUGUAAUUAAAGUCUAGAUAAACACAUAUGUAGAAGAGACACAAUUAAAUAAAGAACGACUAAGUUGUGUUAUUCUAUGAUAUAUUAAGGAUCCAUAAUUUUUUAACAACAAAACAUAUUAAAUAAUACUCCCUAGUAAAUAUAAUGAUGAUUUGUGAUUGUUAUGUUGUUUCGUAAGAAUAAGUAAUACUCUAUAAUAAUGUCCUAGUAACUUUUUCUUAAAAAAUAAUGUCC
rnacentral:lncRNA from 1 species